rnacentral:tRNA from 1 species
GCGCUCUUAGCUCAAUUGGAUAGAGUAUCUGACUACGAAUCAGAAGGUUGGGAGUUCGAGCCUCUCAGGGCGCACCA